GGCCGGGUCCGAUGCAAGGGUCGGCUGCGAACCGGGUCAGGUCCGAGAGGAAGCAGCCCUAAGUGGAACUGAUCUUGUGCCGUCGGUAACCCGGUCGCU
rnacentral:SRP_RNA from 1 species